AGGCUUAUCUCCCCCAAGAGUCCACAUCGACGGGGAGGUUUGGCAGCUCGAGGUCGGCUCAUCACAUGCUGGGGCUGUAGUAGGUCCCAAGGGUUGGGCUGUUCGCCCAUUAAAGUGGUACGCGAGGGGGGUUCAGAACGUCGUGAGACAGUUCGGUCCCUAUCCGUCGCAGGCGUAGGAAAUUUGAGAAGACCUGUCCUUAGUACGAGAGGACCGGGAUGGACGUACCUCUGGUGUACCAGUUGU
rnacentral:rRNA from 1 species